UUCUCCCUUUCUACUUCUUCGUAAUCUUUUUUUCCUUCCGAAUCUCCUUUACCCAUUGUGUUAGGAGUUUGUUAGGAUAUUGGAAUUGACUCUUUCACAGGCAAUAUACUUAUAUAUAGGUCUAUAAUCUGUACAGAUUUACACACAGAAAAUGAGCAGAUAAUACAUUUACAGUUUCAAUUUUUCCUCUCUCUCUCUCAACAAUUUCUUUAGCAAGAUUUGGCUCUAUUAAGUUCCGCGGCGUGAUCGGUAUAUUAUCGAGAGGUAAAUGCUAAUUGAUACAAAGACAUGAGGACGAAAGAGCAUCUGGAUCUUGGAUUGGGCUCAUAUCCUUCAUGGAAUGACAUAGUGUUGGAAAAACUGCAUUGACGACGAUAACAAAAGGUAAACAUAUUUACUGCAGUUGUCAACCCAUUCCGUCUUUAAGGUAUUCCUUUUUGUUGAAAACCAAUACCAUCAAGUGCUCUCACCAAAAAAACUGAACCAAUUACUAGAAUAAUAGAGGAUAAAACUCUUCCAGCAAUAACAUAAGUUAAUAAUCCUAAGUUCUUUAGCCAUGUUGUUGGCAAUAUUUAUGAGAGCAACUAAAAAGACAACGGUUUCUGUGUCUACUAUUUUCCGGCCACCAAUACGAAUUUGCAUUUGGGAAUAACUUUUGCAAAUUGCCGCCUUUUAAUAUUAGGAACUCAAUUGCAACUAGGUAUAGAUCAAGAUACAUGAAAAUUGAUAUUAUGACUCUCCCUUUUUUCCCAAAAGCAAAUUCACCAAUUUGAUAAUGCAUCUUUAUUGUUGUGAGACGCUCAUGCAUUUUUAUAGAAGGGACCUUGUAUAACAACAUAUAAUUGCUACAAAAAAAGAUCAAACCCAGUAGGUUUUGCCUCUGCUUGUGUUUGAUGAUACUUUUUUUGUAGCAAUUCUACGUUGCUAUACAAGAUUCUUGCUACAAAAAUGCAUGAGAGCUUCACCAGUAAUCAAGACAUAUCAUGACAUUGGUGAAUUUGCUUUGGGAACAAAGGGAGAGUCAUAAUAUCAAAUUUCAUGUAUUUUGAGUUAUAAUGAUCGUAGUUGAGUUCCUAAUAUUAAAAGGUCACAAUUUGCAAAAACUAUUCCCAAAUAAAAAUUUUCAUAUUUAUCACUUAAAAAAAGUAGUGAGAGAAGUAUUUGCCUUUCUAGUUGAUUACAUAAAUUGCCAACAACAUGGUUUAAAAGCUUAGGGUUAUUGGCGUAUAUUUUUGCUGGAGGAGUUUCGGCCUAUAUUAUUCUAGUUGCUUUAGUUUUUUGGGCGGGUGCACUUGAUGAUAUUGGUUUUCAAUAGAAAAGAACACUUAGGAGAUGGAUGGAUUGAUAGCUGCAUUAAAUAUGUUCACGGUCCCAAAACUAUGCAAUUCCAUGAAGAAUAUAAGCCCUUCAACAUUUGCUUUAAACAGGAGAAGAAUUCAAGAAUUAUCAUCCAUUUAAUACAUACGUCGUGUUAUACCAAAUCUCAGCCUUCCGUAUUUUUGUUAUCUGAGAUAGCUUAUGGCAAUUAAAAUAAUUUGACACUUUUAACAUGUUUGGAAGUUGCUGCGCGUUAAGCGGCUGAUGUUCUUUAAUUUUCUAAACCAUAUGCAGCAUUUUAAUUUGAGAUUUGUUGUUCAUUUGAGCU